rnacentral:rRNA from 1 species
UACGUAGGGGCCAAGCGUUGUCCGGAUUUAUUGGGCGUAAAGAGCUCGUAGGCGGUUCGGCAAGUCGACGGUGAAAUCCCCGGGCUCAACCUGGGAAUUGCAUUCGAGACUGCAUGGCUAGGAUGCGGAAGAGGGAAGCGGAAUUUCCGGUGUAGCGGUGAAAUGCGUAGAUAUCGGAAGGAACACCAGUGGCGAAAGCGGCUUCCUGGUCCAGCAUCGACGUUCAGGCACGAAAGCGUGGGGAGCGAACAGG